rnacentral:rRNA from 1 species
GAGGAAAAGAAACCAACAGGGAUUGCCUCAGUAACGGCGAGUGAAGCGGCAAAAGCUCAAAUUUGAAAUCUAGCACUUUCAGUGUUCGAGUUGUAAUUUGAAGAAGGUAACUUUGGUUUUGGCUCUUGUCUAUGUUCCUUGGAACAGGACGUCACAGAGGGUGAGAAUCCCGUGCGAUGAGAUGCCCAAUUCCAUGUAAAGUGCUUUCGAAGAGUCGAGUUGUUUGGGAAUGCAGCUCUAAGUGGGUGGUAAAUUCCAUCUAAAGCUAAAUAUUGGCGAGAGACCGAUAGCGAACAAGUACAGUGAUGGAAAGAUGAAAAGAACUUUGAAAAGAGAGUGAAAAAGUACGUGAAAUUGUUGAAAGGGAAGGGCUUGAGAUCAGACUUGGUAUUUUGCGUUCCCUUCCUUUUUGGUUGGGUUCCUCGCAGUUUACUGGGCCAGCAUCGGUUUGGAUGGUAGGAUAAUGACAUUGGAAUGUAGCUUUACUUCGGUGAAGUGUUAUAGACUUUGUUGAUACUGCCUAUCUAGACCGAGGACUGCGUCUUUGACUAGGAUGCUGGCGUAAUGAUCUUAAGCCGCCCGCU